AUGCUUCUUGCAGCAUGUCCUGGGGAGCAGCACCCAGCGAUCCCAGCUAGCACAGGAGAGAGGCUCAAGCCCCAGCCUGCAGGCCCUGAGUCACAACACAGAAAGAGGAGGAGGAGGAAGAGAGAGAAAGAGAAAACUAAAAACCCUGAAGGAUGGUUCUCAAAAAUCCUAAAGGAACCACAGGGAAUUCCUUUUAAGAGCACCAGAAAGCGAGCCAGCUGAGUUUUUUUCCCCAUUGAAUUCUGAGGCCAAGCAGCGGGAUUUGAUGUAGUUGAAACCACACAGCCCUGCAAAAUCUUCCCUCUGACCACUGGGUCCAAUGAGAAGCCCCAAAGCCCUUUCGUUCCGGCCUCGUCUUCUUGUAGGUUUCUGAAGCUGAACGUCGUUUGAUGAAGGAGAGUAGAACGGAAGUGCAGAGGUACCUCUAAAACCUGUCUUGUCUUCCCCUAAAGCAUCUGGGAGGAACCGCUGGGAGACAGGACGCCAGCAGGGGUGAGCCAGCAUCCUCCUUGGUGCGUUUCAUACCUUAUAUGUAGUACUGUCUCACCAUACGUUUCUUCGGUGCAUACAACUUCCCACA
rnacentral:lncRNA from 1 species